GUGGGUUGAAGUUUCUGGAAAGAGGACAUGAACGAUAUUCAUGGAAGGAGAAAGGGGAUCAGUCUAGGUCAACCGUGUUAUCGAAGACGGCAUUGAGAGCAAAUCUAUAAACCAUCAUGUUGCUUAGUUAGUUUGUACCACAUAUGAAAACUAGGAGGACUGUUUAUCUAAUUAGUCUAUUUGGAGAAUGACAUAUCAACAAUAUAUG
rnacentral:lncRNA from 1 species